AUUGAACGCUGGCGGCAGGCCUAACACAUGCAAGUCGAACGGUAACAGGAAACAGCUUGCUGUUUCGCUGACGAGUGGCGGACGGGUGAGUAAUGUCUGGGAAACUGCCUGAUGGAGGGGGAUAACUACUGGAAACGGUAGCUAAUACCGCAUAACGUCGCAAGACCAAAGAGGGGGACCCUCGGGCCUCUUGCCCUCGGAUGUGCCCAGAUGGGAUUAGCUUGUUGGUGGGGUAACGGCUCACCAAGGCGACGAUCCCUAGCUGGUCUGAGAGGAUGACCAGCCACACUGGAACUGAGACACGGUCCAGACUCCUACGGGAGGCAGCAGUGGGGAAUAUUGCACAAUGGGCGCAAGCCUGAUGCAGCCAUGCCGCGUGGAUGAAGAAGGCCUUCGGGUUGUAAAGUACUUUCAGCGGGGAGGAAGGGAGUAAAGUUAAUACCUUUGCGCAUUGACGUUACCCGCAGAAGAAGCACCGGCUAACUCCGUG
rnacentral:rRNA from 1 species